AAGGAGCAGGCGUUCGCAAACUGCGCGUGUGUGUGCGUGUCCAGGCUUAUAUGUGCGUGCACAUCUAUAUUUAUAUAUAUAUAUAUAUAGAAUAUUUUUAUAUAUCUCGAUACGCGCACAUACACAGCCGCGUGGAUAGGUGCGCUGCCUUCCCCUCCGCACCUCUUUCCGCGGGGUCGGGAGGGGGUUGAAAAGCGGUUCCCCCGGGGAGGGGACACCUCAGGGGACACUGGGAUUCAGGGGGAGGCUUUGAUUUCUCAUUUUGAUUUUGAUUUUUUCUGCCUCGGGCAGGAAGGUCCUAUCCUGGUGCGGCCGCGCAGGAGAAGGCGUUGUGCACCAUCAUCAUCCUCCCUGGAGGUUUUUCUCCCCUUUACCCGCCUCAACCCGCUUAUUUGGCGGGGGGGACGGGGACGACACCCCGAGCUGAGGAGGGCGGCCGGCUCCAGCGCUGCACUGGGGCAAACUGGAGCAAGCAUUUUUAUUUUAUUUUAAUUUAUUUAUUUUUUUUUCCUGGUGCUUUUCGCUAAGGGCCUGGCUUCCCCUGGGUGUCUCCAGAGCUUGGUGAUGCUGGAGAGAGCUCAGCCUGGGGAAACUGGGUAAAUUUUGCAAGAUUUGGCCGGCAGGGAGGGGAAGGCUGCCUGCAGCCCCCCCCUGGGCCGGAGCAGGGCUUGUUGGGGGGCGGGGGGGGGUCCCUGCCUGGGAACACUCACCCUCUGCAGUGUCCAGCUCCUGCAGGAACUUCUCUCUCUUCCUUAGGUGUUGCUCUUUAUUUUCUCUCUCCCUAUUUCUCCUCCUCCUCUUCCUCCUCCUCCUCCUCUCUUUUUCUGUUGGAGGAAACAACGUUUUAGCAUCUUUUUUUUUUUUUUUUGAGGCUAUUCCUAGAGAAGGUAUCACGGCUAUUAAUAUUUGUUACCCUUAUUCGUUAACCUCUGGGAUGAAC
rnacentral:lncRNA from 1 species